CUUGCUCUGGUGGAUUAGUGGCGAACGGGUGAGUAACACGUGAGUAACCUGCCCUUGACUCUGGGAUAAGCGUUGGAAACGACGUCUAAUACCGGAUACGAGCUUCAGCCGCAUGGCUAGGAGUUGGAAAGAAUUUCGGUCAAGGAUGGACUCGCGGCCUAUCAGCUUGUUGGUGAGGUAAUGGCUCACCAAGGCGACGACGGGUAGCCGGCCUGAGAGGGUGACCGGCCACACUGGGACUGAGACACGGCCCAGACUCCUACGGGAGGCAGCAGUGGGGAAUAUUGCACAAUGGGCGCAAGCCUGAUGCAGCAACGCCGCGUGAGGGACGACGGCCUUCGGGUUGUAAACCUCUUUUAGCAGGGAAGAAGCGAAAGUGACGGUACCUGCAGAAAAAGCACCGGCUAACUACGUGCCAGCAGCCGCGGUAAUACGUAGGGUGCAAGCGUUGUCCGGAAUUAUUGGGCGUAAAGAGCUCGUAGGCGGUUUGUCGCGUCUGCUGUGAAAACGCGAGGCUCAACCUCGCGCCUGCAGUGGGUACGGGCAAACUAGAGUGCGGUAGGGGAGAUUGGAAUUCCUGGUGUAGCGGUGGAAUGCGCAGAUAUCAGGAGGAACACCGAUGGCGAAGGCAGAUCUCUGGGCCGUAACUGACGCUGAGGAGCGAAAGCAUGGGGAGCGAACAGGAUUAGAUACCCUGGUAGUCCAUGCCGUAAACGUUGGGAACUAGAUGUAGGGACCAUUCCACGGUUUCUGUGUCGCAGCUAACGCAUUAAGUUCCCCGCCUGGGGAGUACGGUCGCAAGACUAAAACUCAAAGGAAUUGACGGGGGCCCGCACAAGCGGCGGAGCAUGCGGAUUAAUUCGAUGCAACGCGAAGAACCUUACCAAGGCUUGACAUAUACGAGAAACGGGCCAG
rnacentral:rRNA from 1 species